rnacentral:rRNA from 1 species
GACGAACGCUGGCGGCGUGCCUAAUACAUGCAAGUUGAGCGCUGAAGGUUGGUACUUGUACCAACUGGAUGAGCAGCGAACGGGUGAGUAACGCGUGGGGAAUCUGCCUUUGAGCGGGGGACAACAUUUGGAAACGAAUGCUAAUACCGCAUAAAAACUUUAAACACAAGUUUUAAGUUUGAAAGAUGCAACUGCAUCACUCAAAGAUGAUCCCGCGUUGUAUUAGCUAGUUGGUGAGGUAAAGGCUCACCAAGGCGAUGAUACAUAGCCGACCUGAGAGGGUGAUCGGCCACAGUGGGACUGAGACACGGCCCAAACUCCUACGGGAGGCAGCAGUAGGGAAUCUUCGGCAAUGGACGAAAGUCUGACCGAGCAACGCCGCGCGAGUGAAGAAGGUUUUCGGAUCGUAAAACUCUGUUGGUAGAGAAGAACGUUGGUGAGAGUGGAAAGCUCAUCAAGUGACGGUAACUACCCAGAAAGGGACGGCUAACUACGUG